AUUCCUGUUUUAGUACCGUGCAUCUGCUCCUUUUCCGGAUGUGUGGCUAUGCUAACGGGGAAGAGCAACUCUGUCAAGAUCUGAAGGGGUGUGCAGCUAUUCCCUGCUACUUCUAUAUGUACUGACAGUACAGUCAAAC
ensembl:snoRNA